AUUGAUAUUUAUUGAGUAAAUUUAGUACAUUUGCAUCGAUUUUGUGUUAAAUUUUUUAUGAUAUGAACCUGAAUUAAUAAUUUUUGUGUGACUAAUGAUAUAUAAAUGAUUUUUUUUUAAUGAAUAAUGAUUAGUGAUGACAUACGUUGAUAUAAGAGCUUUAAGAUAAACAUUGCUAUAAGUAAGAGAUAUAUUUUUAACAAACCGACCUGAUGAGUCGAGAUAAUGAAUUUGGAAAAGAACUAUAUAGAUAAAAAGAAGAACUAACAAUAUUAUAAGUUGAAUAUUAUGAGGAAAUUUGAGACAAUAAGAAACCCACUGCUUUUGUCAAAUUAGGAAGGUACUAAGUGAUUUAUAGAAGCUUGAACGCUUAUUAGAGACCCACUCUGUGUUUUGAAGGGUAUCUAUUUUAUUCAUGAUUAUUCGUGAAUAAACAACGGCCUCAGAGCAAGGGAUUGAGGUUGUGAUAUUUUUAGAAGAAUCUGAACCGCAUAAAAUACCUAUUUUAUGUUUAGAGUUAACUAUACCACCUCAAUGGUGCGUACAGAUCAGGGCGAAAAUUCGGGUUAAUAUUGGCGGAGAACUAAGACAUCCGAGUGAAACCUCUUUUAUUAAGGUAAAACGAAGGUAUCGGAGCUAGUAUAUGAAGUGAUGAUUAUGAUGUUAUAUGAAAUGAUAUAUGAGAUAAAUGAUAUAUGAUUGUUAUAUGAAAUAUGUAUAUGAAGAUGAAUUAUGUACACGGUAGAAGUGUUAUUAUGUGGAGAAAAAUGAAGAAAUAUAUAGUUGUAGUACCAGACAAGAAAAAGAUUAGAAAAAAAAAGAUAAUUUUUAGUAUAAUAUGUGGGAAAAAUGAAAGAAGACACAUAAAAAUUGCAAGAAAAGAAGCAAAA
rnacentral:lncRNA from 1 species